GAUGAACGCUGGCGGCGUGCCUAAUACAUGCAAGUCGAGCGAACGGACGAGAGGCUUGCUUUUCUGAUGUUAGCGGCGGACGGGUGAGUAACACGUGGAUAACCUACCUAUAAGACUGGGAUAACUUCGGGAAACCGGAGCUAAUACCGGAUAAUAUUUUGAACCGCAUGGUUCAAAAGUGAAAGACGGUCUUGCUGUCACUUAUAGAUGGAUCCGCGCUGCAUUAGCUAGUUGGUAAGGUAACGGCUUACCAAGGCAACGAUGCAUAGCCGACCUGAGAGGGGCAUCGGCCACACUAGAACUGCGACACGGUCCAGACUCCUACGGGAGGCAGCAGUAGGGAAUCUUCCGCAAUGGGCGAAAGCCUGACGGAGCAACGCCGCGUGAGUGAUGAAGGGCUUCGGAUCGUAAAACUCUGUUAAUAGGGAAGAACAUAUGUGUAAGUAACUAUGCACAUCUUGACGGUACCUAAUCAGAAAGCCACGGCUAGCUACGUG
rnacentral:rRNA from 1 species